rnacentral:rRNA from 1 species
GGCUCAGGAUAAACGCUGGCGGCGCACAUAAGACAUGCAAGUCGAACGGAAGUCGUUAUAAAAAGGAUUGAAGAUUUAUCUGAUUGAGAUUUUAUAACAAUGGCUUUAGUGGCGGACUGGUGAGUAACGCGUGAGCAACCUGCCUACUAGAGGGGAAUAACAGUGAGAAAUCAUUGCUAAUACCGCAUAUGCCAUGAACAUCACAUGAUGAAAAUGGGAAAAGAGUAAUCUGCUAGUAGAUGGGCUCGCGUCUGAUUAGAUAGUUGGUGGGGUAACGGCCUACCAAGUCGACGAUCAGUAGCCGGACUGAGAGGUUGAACGGCCACAUUGGGACUGAGAUACGGCCCAGACUCCUACGGGAGGCAGCAGUCGGGAAUAUUGCGCAAUGGAGGAAACUCUGACGCAGUGACGCCGCGUAUAGGAAGAAGGUUUUCGGAUUGUAAACUAUUGUCGUUAGGGAAGAUACAAGACAGUACCUAAGGAGGAAGCUCCGGCUAGCUACGUGCCAGCAGCCGCGGUAAUACGUAGGGAGCAAGCGUUAUCCGGAUUUAUUGGGUGUAAAGGGUGCGUAGACGGGACAACAAGUUAGUUGUGAAAUCCCUCGGCUUAACUGAGGAACUGCAACUAAAACUAUUGUUCUUGAGUGUUGGAGAGGAAAGUGGAAUUCCUAGUGUAGCGGUGAAAUGCGUAGAUAUUAGGAGGAACACCGGUGGCGAAGGCGACUUUCUGGACAAUAACUGACGUUGAGGCACGAAAGUGUGGGGAGCAAACAGGAUUAGAUACCCUGGUAGUCCACACCGUAAACGAUGGAUACUAGGUGUAGGAAAUGAUUUCAUUUUCUGUGCCGUCGCAAACGCAAUAAGUAUCCCACCUGGGGAGUACGGCCGCAAGGUUGCGAACUCAAAUGAAUUGACGGA